CAGUGCCAAAAAUGACGUUUUUGUUUGAAGAAACGUCACUUUUGACAUUGACAUAUCUAAUCCAUAUCGUUUCUAGAUCUAAUAUUUGACGUAUCUUAAAGUUCGAAUCGGGCCGAAUUCAAUUCAAAUAAUCACUCGGCACUAUUUUUCGUAUACUUACUAAACCCAAAGUGCCUGCCAAAGAAUCUUAAAAUCAGCUAAGUAGAUGGAACAUAAAAUCAUUAGGUAAAAUCAAAGAUGGAAUAUCGGAUGGCGUAGCGCUUGAGCCAGAGAAUUGGUGUAGAAUAAAGUAAGGAAAUGCAAAACGGUGAUAUAUUUUUAAUUAAGUCAUAAGAACCCAUUAUGAGUACGAGUAUACCCAAAAUACUUAAUUAUCUUUCUUGAAAUGAAGCUAGUUAGACCGUAGGUAUCAUAGUAAGUGACAUUACAGCAGGAUAUAUAACCAAAGCAAUUAAAUGCCCCCAAAGACGGUUACCAAAGAUUAGGUAUAAUUUUAAGAUAAAUAAAGUUAAAUUAUCUAAACUAGGUUGGACGAAUGCAUGUAGUAAUUUGGUCUUGCAACAUUUUUAUGUAACUUUUAUCAAUUUUAUGUUUCGAAUAUCUACUACUAUCAGUUUUAAGAAUACGAGUGUGAUUGUUAAUAUUAAUAAUAGUUGAUUUAUUUUAAAAGCAUAUUGUAAUAUUUAGUUUGCCAUUGUUAAUUUGUUAUAUGUACUUAAUACAAUUUGUACACUUGUUUAAUAAUUGCACGUUAUACAUUUUCGAAAAAUUUAGACCAAUAUCGCCCAACCUCUUGUGUAUGUACAUACGAAAUCGAUGCAAAAGGAAUUUAAUUUUGAUAAAUGGAGCCGAUGGCUUUGAUUAAUUUAAUUGCGAUAUUAAUCGUUGUAGACAUAAUUAUUAGGAUAGAGUUCCUGAGGACAUAAAAGUCCGUCCAGGCACAAAAAGGAAACAACACCAAAGCAGUAGUUAGUCAUGAUAUAGUUGACGGAAUGGUUUCGAUGAAUCUAAAAUGUAAUGAAAAAUUGAAACGAAUUAAUUAGUAGCAUCGACAAAGCAAUAAUAAUAAGAUCUCAUAAUUGUUGUAGUAUCAGUACCCAUUGCUGCAAAGAUUCUUCAAAACCAUUGAUCGUGCAACUUUCAUGAUAAGAAGAUGUCUAUUAAACCACAAUUACUCAUAGAAAAUAUAUAAAUAAACUAUUCAAUAUACCUAACUAGUACUUAAAACGGAAACAUAACAAUAUUCAAAUAUACAAAUUGUGUAAAUAUAUGAAUUUAAAAAUCAAUGUCAGAUUUUUUCAACCCAUCAUCAUAGUAACAAGUACUUAAAUUGAGGUUAGAAUACAAAUCUAUUAACAAACUUCAAAUCGGUGUCGUCAUUUAAUGGUAAAAUAUACGUGUAUUAUAAAGUGAGAUUUAACUGUAGAUAGAAAAACCAAUUUAUUAAAUUAUUUUAAACUUUAUAACUUUUGCUAUUGUUUGUUGUUUGCACAUUUCAUUAUGUUUUCUUUAUUUAUUUUUUAUUCGACUCAUAAUUGCGUGCGUUAUCAGUAUUUAAGCUACCUCAACCAUAAUCUGCUUGCUGUUUAUUCUUAAGACCCUAAAUGCUAGUUAAAUUAUUAUUCCCGCUAGUUGGUAUAUUACAUGAACAAACAUCAUAUUUGUUUGUAAAGUCUUUAAAUCAUUAAACUGGCGCAAAGGCGUCAUUCAAAUUUCAAUCAAAAACCUAAUUUCGAUCAUCUUUUUCAUACUUCAGUUAUUUUACUUUGAGAAAUUAUUCAUCUACGUUAAUUCCAAUAUUUGUCAUUGUCAUAAUAUAUAUGUAUAUGCUAUUAAUACUUGUAUCUAAACAUGUUAUGGAUCAAACAGGGUCUUUAACUCUUAGGCAUUACCUAUACGUGUUUCUUAAUUUUAAUGUGUUGCGCUUUCUACUAAUACUUCGUAGCUUGAUGUUAACUUUUCUAUUGUAAAAUCGGUGUUCUUGUAAGAUUCUAGAAAUAAGCGCACCCUAAAUAAAAUAUUAGAAUAUAAUUAAAUCUUGUAAUUGCGCGAUCGGUAUUGAACAACAUGCAAAUAUGUAAGUUGGAAUACCUAAGUAUAUUAUAAUGAUUUGUACUAAAAGGCGGAGCCAGUAAAGGAUAAAUGUAAUUAAAAAAAUCUACUUUAAAUUCACCACUGAUUUUUCGAGUCACGGAUCUUUUAUAAACUAAAACCUUCAUGACUACUCUUAGAAUAUUUGAAAUAGCCUCAAUAGUUCGACAUCAGUACUUAUAAAUUGUAUAGAUAUAAAAACGCGUCAUUUUGUAUAUUUAAUGACUGAGUGCCAGAUGAAUGUGAUUGUAUGUUACAUGUUGAACUGUGUUUAAAUUAUAAUAUAAGUAACUGUUUCUAGUGGUAAAUGGAUGUAUUGUAAUCAAUAUGGCUUCAAUGGCGAAUGAAACGAAAUAAAGGUUAUUUUAUAUUAUA